rnacentral:rRNA from 1 species
CAGUAGCCACGGGAAUACGGAGGGGGCUAGCGUUGUUCGGAAUUACUGGGCGUAAAGCGCACGUAGGCUGCUUUGUAAGUCAGAGGUGAAAGCCCGGGGCUCAACCCCGGAUGUGCCUUUGAGACUGCAGGGCUAGAACGUCGGAGAGGUGAGUGGAAUUCCGAGUGUAGAGGUGAAAUUCGUAGAUAUUCGGAAGAACGCCAGUGGCGAAGGCGGCUCACUGGACGACUGUUGACGCUGAGGUGCGAAAGCGUGGGGAGCAAACAGGAUUAGAGACCCCCGUAGUCCCUGUCUCUUAUAC